rnacentral:lncRNA from 1 species
UCGCCCUGGUGAUGCUUCCAAGUAGUGAUUCACAUCUCCUCUCUCUUUUUUUUUUAUAUCUUUUGUAAUCUGAGCCUUCCAGUCUUUUAACAAAAUUUUCACAAGAACAUAUAAAUACAUUUAUUUUUGGUUCCAUGUAUAGGUGGAUACGAAUCAUGCUCUGAAGCAUAUUGAUCGAGUGUCAAUAUAUACUAGGCACCUGGCUACAACU